GGAGUUUAAAAGGAUCGGCAAGUGUGAGAACACGCUUGUGGCAAACAAAUCUGUUAGUUGAAGUUUUCAGUGACACGGAUUCUGGACCCACAGCGGGAAUAAUGAUGUUCUGCAGAGUGGCUUGGCAAAGACUUGCGGCUCUGGGACACAAAACACUCAAUCCUUUCAGCAAUGCUGUGUUCCCUACGCGACAGAUGUCCUUUGGUCUACCUGUGUCCGGCACAAACAUAGCUUACAUGGUACUUGGUGGCAGCUCGCUUACUGCUGCUCUUGUUUAUGCUUAUAAGACAAUAAACUCUGACAGUGCAAGAUAUAAUGAAAGAAUUGCUCAACUCGAGGCCAGACCUAAAAACAGCUGGAAUUAGAUUCCCAUUCAGAGAUCUUUCAUUGUUGGAUUCAUUGAAUUGAUGGGUGCCGUGAGGAAGGGUGUCACUUUUUGCUGCUGUUUGCUGCUGGUAUGUGUAUGUUACUGCAGUUCCUCAGGCCUGACCAUAUUUCUGAGGUUACUCAGCAGCCACUAAUCUAG
ensembl:lncRNA